CUUUAGAUCUUCAACAGACUGGAUAAAUCCCACUUCAUCACAGUGGGGAGGGAAAUCUACUUAGUCUACUAAUUCUAAUGCUCAUUCAGAAACAUCCUGACAGAGACACCCAGAAUAAUGUUUAAACAAAUACCUGGGCAUCCUAAGGCACAGUCAAGUUAACACAUAAAAUUAACCAUAGCGGUUCCUGUGAGGUCUUUCCUGAUGUUUUCACACAGAAGGGAUGCCUCACUUCUGUGAACUCCCACAACAUGUGAGCCUGUUUCCCUUUUAGCUUUGUGCAUAGUACAUAUAUUAGCAAGUGUGUAGCACAUGAGCUAUCUUAUCUACAUGAUAGUAGCAUUUAAUAUGUGAUUAUUACUAACUUUGGGUUUGAAUAUUGUUGUGAAAUCUCUCUCUGCUCAGAAUACUCUGAAAAUUUAGCUAUAAUGAAAAGCUACUAAAAAAAGAUAUUGGCCUCUCUGUGUGGACAUUAGCUUCAACACAGGGAUGCACAAGUGUAAAGUUUUAGACCUGUAGUUCAGAGACUGUACUUUCACGAUGGCAAGAAGAAAGACUAUGUGGUCUCUGGUUUAUGAACAAUAUCUUUCUAUGUUUAAACGUUGAAACUCAG
rnacentral:lncRNA from 1 species